rnacentral:lncRNA from 1 species
CUGAUGUCUGUGGCUAAUCUGUGGUGUCAGCUUGUGUUAACGCCGCACCGUCAAAUUUGAGGGCACACAGGGCCGGGGAAUAUUAAAAACUCCCAUCAGCAGCAUUCCUCCACAGAGGAGGGCGGGUCUGACGAGAGCAAGGGUCAGCUAAGGUUGAACACUGGUUUGUGUGUUCGAGCUGUUCGUACUGUAACGGUCUGAUCCGGUGGACAGGAGGUGGGGCCAGAGCAGGACGGAGGGAACACACUUCAAAGGGAGAGCGCUCUUUCCUUGUCUGUCCUCAUUGAAAGCGGGCUAAAUGAGCUUUGUGGGGGCUUUUGUUCCUGCUGUUAGACAAUUCAGAGACUGGACGGAAGAUGCCGAAAAGGACAGGAGGUCAGAUGGGUAGUUAAUUAUCUGCCUCUCAAGCCGCCAGACGUUUUUUGCCUCCCCCUUCCCCAAUUGACUUAUAAUGACCAUGAGAUAUUGUUCGCUAAGUUUGAGGAGUCCGGUAAGUGUAAGGUCAAACUGUUCCUGCAAUUGGUACAUGACAAAUUUCACACAGACAUGAGACGGAGACUUUGAACCACAGUGCCAGCAUUUUCCUCCACAUGGUGAGCCCUGCCCCUUUUUAUCCUCAUUGAAAUAUACAAUUACCCUUUAGCCAGUUUGCAAAGAGUCCACGACAGCAAGUUUGAUGAAAAGGACUUCCAAACUUCUAAAGCAUCGUCCAACCCAUACCUGCUUUCACAAUGAGAAACAUGAUGGCUGAAAAAAUUCAGCUUAUUCCUGGCUGUCUGAAGCUGCGGUGCAGACAUGUAACAUGUGCUCGGCUCUCUCUGACUCCCAGAGGGGCAAGGACAGGAAUGCAGCGAGGGUCAGGGGUCGGACAGCCAUGUGCACGUGCACCGCUGUAGCCUGGCAACAGGUGCUGUACAUGAGCAACAGCAAAGUCACUUACAGCAAACUACAAUCAAGCUAAAUUUCUAUGUGACAUAAGGUUUCUUUUUCAUUUGUUGCUCGUUGAAACAUCUUUGUUAUAAAACUUUUUAUCGUCAAAGAUUCGGGCUUAUUUUCUCAUAACUUUUUGUUGAGACUGAAGCCUCGAGUGUAACAUCUGCACAGGAAGAGAGAGAGAGAGAGAGAGAGGGAGAAGCUCGUAGCCGAGCAGUUGGUAGUGUCUCGGGGAAACGAUAGCUCUGUGCCAAGGUAUUCCUUCUCCCUCCUGAGAGAGGCCCCGCCAUUCAGCGCUGUGAGGUCAACAAGUACAGACCAUUACCCACAAUGCCCCUGAACUGAAGAGGGGGGAAAAAAAAACUUAAAUAUGCAGGGCUGUUCCUUUAAGAUGGUAAGACAGGAGCUUCCUGAAUGUGCUCACAGACAGAGCUGCGGCCAAGAUGGAGAGAAGGAGGGAGAGGAGGAGAAAUCAGAGAUUCUUUAUUGAUGAGGAAACUUGUGUUUUCCUGAUUCUACUGCAGAGCUGUUAUGUUGUAAUUAUUCAUUUUGUUAAAUUACGGGUGUCAGUUUGCUGAUUGCACCGCGCAGAGAAAAAGGAGUCUUGUUGCUAGGAGAGGAGGGAUUUAGCCUUCUCUUAUUGGCCGCUAGGAUGCGUAAGAUGGCCCAAUGAGAGCCCUCCCCCUCGCUGCACAGAGCAAUAGUAGAGCUACCCCCACAUGCAGACCUGAUUAAUAUGUCAGACAUGUUUUAUGGGUUAACUUGAAUCAGGCUGGAUGAAUUGAAAGGGCUGCAGCGGGAUUUGUGUGUGUGUGUGUGUGUGUGUGUGUGUGUGUGUGUGUGUGUGUGUGUGUGUGUGUGUGUGUGUGUGUGUGUGUGUGUGUGUAAGUCUAUACAGUAUGCAUGCCGGGGGGAACACCACACUGACAUAUCACACACACACACACACACACACACACACUCCUCUGAGGUCAAGUGUUGCUCUCGUUCUGAAAAAUGUUAGCAUACACACAUACGCAGCACAUUCACUGUAGUAACAGAGUAACUGGAAACAGACCGGUGCUGAGUGGGAAUAGGAAAUAGGAUUCCUCACAUGUGCAUGAUUAUCAGGAGAAUGCAGCUUACAAAAGAGAAACAGAAGUGAAAAACUUUACUGGGUUUUUUUUGUAGUUUUUGAGGACAUUAAUGCUCUGCAGUAGAUAUGAAGCACACACACCGCAAAUCUCUAAACAAACCACUCAUUCUGUCGUGUUUUCUUACCUGCCAAGACUGAAAAAAGUCAAUACCUUCAUUUUUUGUCUGAUUGAGUGAUGCCUAAUGUUUCGUUUUCUGUGUUUCUGUCACAGGCGGGCUUUUUCUGUCUCCUCAAAGCGAAGCUGGAAUUAUACAGAAAAAGCAGCAUUUGGUCUGAAAUAUUUGUGAUUAUGUCUGGAUGUGUCGCUAAAUUCUUCACGCUCCAAACUUAUACUAGCCUUCUCACUACAGCUUACCUUCCUUUUAUCAAUUACAGCAACAUUUAGUGCACAGUCAGUAACUGGAUGGUGUUCACAUGAGGGUCAUAGUUGAAAGAAGCUGUUGGACCUUGUGUUUUUUUAAAGAACAUAUUGUCAGCAGUGAGGGUUAUUAACUUUAUUAAUAACUUGUGUGAAAAUCUAGCUGAUCAGACACACUUUUUGUCCACACAACUUCCUCACACUGGAUAUUUUCUCUUAUUCGGACCAUUCUCUGUAAACCCUAGAGGUGGUUGUGUGUGAAAAUCCCAGAAGAUCAGCAGUUUCCAACAUACUCAGACCAGCUUGUCUGGAACCACGUUCAAAGUCACUUAAUAAAUCCCCUUUAUUCCCCAUUCUGUUGUUCAGUUUGAACUUCAGCAAGUCAUCUUGACCACCUCCACAUGCCUAAAUACAUUGAGUUGCAGCCAUGUGAUUGGCUGAUUAUUAGCUAUUUGAGUUAACGAGCACUUGAACAGGUGCACCUAAUUAAGCUUAUGUAGAAGGCCUGGAGCUAAACAUAGAUGUCGCUGAGACAUGUUUUAAAACUACAUGAAAAACUGCGUCCGACUUUCCUACUGAUAGAGUAAUACUCCCACUUUAUCAUCUUUGACCAUUAAUAAGAGCCACACCUGUGUUUGCAGCACCUUCAUAUGUCACACAAGAUGCUUAAUGUUUAUUUAACAGGGACAAUACAUACAAUAUUGCAGCAAGAAAUGGAAAAUGUGAUACAAGACGUCUAGCUUCAGCUAAUUUGCAGUCUUUGUCCCUGGUCAGGCUUUAGUGUAAGAUAAAAUAUACUGAAUACUAUAAAUGCAAUAAUACAAAUACAGUGGAUAAUACAGUGAAUGGCUUGGUGACAUGAAAAUAAAUACCUCUUCUCUGCAUCAGCAGUUUGGUUUACAAGCAUGCAAGUAAAACAACUAAAACACACUGACAUCAGUUAAAAGCCCUAUACGUGGAUGAUUUUUGUCAUUAGAGCCACUAUUGGUUGACUCCAGUGUUACAGCGGAUACAGUGAUGCAUCCCAAAACAUUACUAACACAUGGUUAACAAGUUUAUAUCACAAACUGAAGAGAAAUUAAGACAACACAACUUCUCCACAAAAGUAAAAACAAAGCUUUAAGCUGUCAUAUUUAAACUCUUUGAAUGACAGGAAUGAAAUGGUGUACUUACACUACAGUCUGAACAAAGUCUUUACAACAAUAUGAUGAACUGGUGAAAUGAGAAGAAGUUACAGAGUAAACACUAGCAAACAGGAUGGUGAUGAGGAGCUUAGCCCUUUUCCCUCCAAAUAAACUGGUUAGUGGUUCAGCUCCUGGCUUUUCUGGGACUUUCCACAUGAUGUUGAGAUGUAAUGUUUUCCUCACUCUGCAGUCGGAGCUGUGUUUUUUGGACAAUCAUCAAAAAAAGAAAAAAAAAACUUCUUGAAUGAAAUGACGUAGAAGUGCUGCAAGAGAGGCCUGGUGUGGUGGUUAGAGCAACCAUACUUAUGUGAAAUGGUCUUGGGUUUCAGUCUUCAUUUGGGACCUUUGUGAGGCACAAAUAAAACGCUUUGCUCACAUUGAACUUUAAUCUAAAAAAUAAAUAAAUAAAUGGUCAAAUGUUGUUAUAAAACAGCUUUAUUAUCAUUUUUGAAGCUGAACUGUUUAGGGUGAAGAUCUGCUACCUUAAAGUCAAUCAUUGGCCUUUCUGCCAGGACCAUUGUAAAUAAAAUACAGUAAUUAAAAGUAAAACUUGUACUUUUGGUAAGUAC